rnacentral:rRNA from 1 species
UUAGGAAUCUUGCGCAAUGGGGGAAACCCUGACGCAGCCAUGCCGCGUGAAUGAUGAAGGUCUUAGGAUUGUAAAAUUCUUUCAGCGGGGACGAUAAUGACGGUACCCGCAGAAGAAGCCCCGGCUAACUUCGUGCCAGCAGCCGCGGUAAUACGAAGGGGGCUAGCGUUGCUCGGAAUUACUGGGCGUAAAGGGCGCGUAGGCGGAUGUUUAAGUCAGCGGUGAAAGCCCAGGGCUCAACCUUGGAACUGCCAUUGAUACUGGACAUCUUGAGUACGGGAGAGGUGAGUGGAACACCGAGUGUAGAGGUGAAAUUCGUAGAUAUUCGGUAGAACACCAGUGGCGAAGGCGACUCACUGGCCCGUUACUGACGCUGAGGCGCGAAAGCGUGGGGAGCAAACAG